GUAUCAGAAGUGCGAAUGCUGACAUAAGUAACGAUAAAGCGGGUGAAAAGCCCGCUCGCCGGAAGACCAAGGGUUCCUGUCCAACGUUAAUCGGGGCAGGGUGAGUCGACCCCUAAGGCGAGGCCGAAAGGCGUAGUCGAUGGGAAACGGGUUAAUAUUCCCGUACUUGGUGUUACUGCGAAGGGGGGACGGAGAAGGCUAUGUUGGCCGGGCGACGGUUGUCCCGGUUUAAGCGUGUAGGUGUGUGUUCCAGGUAAAUCCGGUUCACUUUAACACUGAGGCGUGAUGACGAGGCACUACGGUGCUGAAGCAACAAAUGCCCUGCUUCCAGGAAAAGCCUCUAAGCAUCAGGUAACAUCAAAUCGUACCCCAAACCGACACAGGUGGUCAGGUAGAGAAUACCAAGGCGCUUGAGAGAACUCGGGUGAAGGAACUAGGCAAAAUGGUGCCGUAACUUCGGGAGAAGGCACGCUGACAC
rnacentral:rRNA from 1 species